rnacentral:rRNA from 1 species
AGUGAACGCUGGCGGUAGGCCUAACACAUGCAAGUCGAACGGCAGCACAGUAAGAGCUUGCUCUUACGGGUGGCGAGUGGCGGACGGGUGAGGAAUACAUCGGAAUCUACUUUUUCGUGGGGGAUAACGUAGGGAAACUUACGCUAAUACCGCAUACGACCUACGGGUGAAAGCAGGGGAUCUUCGGACCUUGCGCGAUUGAAUGAGCCGAUGUCGGAUUAGCUAGUUGGCGGGGUAAAGGCCCACCAAGGCGACGAUCCGUAGCUGGUCUGAGAGGAUGAAGACCCACACGAGAACUGAGACAGGGUCCAGACUCACACGAGGGACAGCAGGGGAGAAUAUUGGAAAGGGGGCGAACGCCUGCCACCCCCACCCCGUGGGGGAAAAAAGCCCUUUGGGUGUAAAACCCCUUUUUUUUGAGAAAAAAAAGCAGGGUUUUAACCCCCCGGUGUUGUGACGAUACAAAGAAAAAAAGCCCGGCCUAUCUUC